GCGAGCGUAGCUCAGUGGUAGAGCCCUUCGUUGCCAACGAAGCUGUCGUGGGUUCAAAUCCCAUCGCUCGCUCCA
rnacentral:tRNA from 1 species